CAAUUCCAACAAGAGUCAACUUAGGACACAAGCUAUGAAACACCUUGCUAGUUAUAACCUGGGAAUUAUUAUUAUUGUUAUUAUUGUUGUUUGUUUGUUUGUUUGUUUGUUUAUUUAUUCGACUUAUAUGCCGCCCCCUCUCCAAAAAGGACUCGGGGCGGCUCACAGCUAAAAAUGCAACAAUAAACAAAUUAAUUAAAAGUAUAUUAAACAAGUUAAGCCGAAUUGAAAAUUAAAACCCAUAGUUAAAAUAGGACCAACCCCAGAGAAUCAGCACAGCCCAGAUUGUAAAAAGAGCCAAGUCUUCUUGUUGUUAUUAUUAUUGUUGUUGUUAUUGUUAUUUUUUCCCAGAUUGUUCCUGUUUGGUUCUUUUUGCAAAUCCAAAGCGCCAGCAAGGCUAUCGAGGCUCUUCUGGGUCUCCGCGGACCACCUGAAGGACGACACCUUUUCUAAGGCAGGCAGCACCUCCUCCUCCUCCUCCUCUUCCCGGCUCGUCACAUGAACCCGGAUCAGAAUGUGUUUACUCGCCAGUUUUGCACCAUGACGCAACCCGAGCAAGGUCCUUGCAACUGUGAUAGGUCGGCGUUCGGGGAGCCAGGCGAUGAGAUGAACGUUACUCAUUUACAGAGGGAUCGGGGUCCACGACUACCCAGUGGAUGAUACCAGCGGCUUUUGCGCAAGGCGCCUGCACUUUCGGGGAAGAGCUGGACCCAGAAGGUGCAGCCACACGCCUCCGACCUCUCCCCCCCCCUUUUUUUUCCGCCUUGAAGGGGAGCCGGGCUGCCCAAAUCUCUCCCUGCAGAAGAAGCCCUGCCGGCGAGCAAGGAAGUUUCAAAGGCCCGGGAGCUCUGCCUUCCACGAUCCGACCAAGCAAAGCAGAAUCCGCCCUUUGCGCUCGCUUCCCGGUCCGCCGACGCCGAUUCCAGGCUCUCCGGUCAACCGCGGCCUUGCCGGCGCCGGGAUCUUGCACGGGUCACCCCGAGGUCCAAAGAAGUCACCAUGCCUGUCAACGUCAGAGACGUGAUGCAGCUUCUCUGCCAUGUAUCUGAAGAGCGAGAAAUGAAAGCUGCCUUCAAGCACUCUGACGAGGCGCCUUGGUGGUGGGAGCAACGGCUUUCUUCGGAGGUUUGAUGGGAGGCCCACCUGGCAUUGCUGUUGGUAAAUUAAUGCUUCGGAUAUGUGCAUAAGUGCCUCCAAGAGCUUUGGAUCCACCAAAUGGUAGCUUUUAAUGUGAGGCGGGGCGGGGGAGAUAGCAAUAGCAAAAACACUUAGACUUGUAUACUGCUUUACAUGCUUUUACGGCCCUCUGUAAGCGGUUUACAAAGUCAGCCUAUUGCCUCCAACAAUUUGGGUCCUUGUUUUACCCACCUCAGAAGGAUGGAAGGUGGACUCAACCUUGAGCCGAUGAGACUUGAACUGCUGGCAGUGGGCAGAGUUUGCUAGCAAUAGCACAUGGACUUAUAUAUGCUUCACAGGGCUUCACAGCUCUCUCUAAGCAGUUUACAGAGUCAGCUUAUUGCCCCUAAUAAUGUGGGUCCUCAUUUUACCCACCUGGGAAGGAUGGAAGGCUGAGUCAACCUUGAGCCUGGUGAAAUUUGAACUGCCAAAUUGCAGGAAGCUGGCAGUCAGCAGAAGUAGCCUGCAGUACUGCACUCUAACCACUGUGCCACCGCAGCUCUGAAGAUAAUAAAGAUGGGGAAAGAGCCACAGGUUAAUUACAUUAACGAACACAUUUAUAUUCGGUUGAAAUUUCCAAAGUCAAAUCAACCUUUUUUUACAGUUCAAGAUUAUAAAUCUUGCAGAGGCAUUGUAAAAAAAGUAAAGUAAAACAAUAAUACGAAUAUUUAUAUGCAUGAUAUAGAUGGUAUAAAAUAUAGAACAGGUGGGAAUUCAAAGGGUAAAAAAUGCUGAGGAUGAAACUCGCUAUUGGAAGUAUACUUUGUAUGUAAAAAGUAGAAAAGAUAUAUUCAUUAAUAUACUAAAUAAGGAUUUCUCAAUCUUGGUAAUCAUGCUAGCUGGAGAAUCCUGGGAGUUGAAGUCCACAAAUUUCAAGUUGCCACAGUCGUGAAAACUGCACUGAAUGCUGUUCUAAAUAGCGAUGGCCCUUAGACUUAUAUAUCGCUUCACAGUGCUUUACAGCCCUCUCUGAGUGGUUUUUGCAGAGUCAGCCUAUUGGCCCCAACAGUCUGGGUCCUCAUUUUACCCACCUCUGAAAGAUGGAAGGUUGAGUCAAUCUUGAACUGGUCAGGAUUGAACUCCAGAAAGUGGGCAGAAUCAGCCUGCAAUAUUGCAUUGUAAGGGUUGUGCCACCAAGGAAGAAAUAGCAAUAGACUUAUAGACUGCUUUGCAGUGCUUUACAGCCCCUUCUAAGUGAUUUACAGAAUCGGCCUCUUGCCCCCAACAAUCUGGGUCCUCAUUUUACCCACCUCGGAAGGACGGAAGGCUGAGUCAACCUACAGCUGGUCAGGAUUGAACUCCAGAAAGUGGGCAGAAUCAGCCUGCAAUAUUGCAUUCUAAGGAUUGUGCCACCAAGGAAGGAAGGAAGGAAGGAAGGAGGGAGGGAGGGAGGGAGGGAAGGAAGGAAGGAAGGAAGGAAGGACUUAGACUUAUAUAUACCACUUCACGGUGCUUUACAGCCCUCUCUAAGUGGUUUUACAGAGUCAGCCUAUUGCCCCCAACAAUCUGGGUCCUCAUUUUACCCACCUUGGAAGGAUGGAAGGCUGAGUCCACCUUGAGCCUGGUGAGAUUCGAACUGUCAAAUUGCAGGCAACCAGCAGCCUGCAGUACUGCACUCUAACCACUGCUCCACCACGGCUCUUACAUAUCUAUAAAUUGCUACGUAAUAGGACAAUGCAUCUAAAAAAUAGCACAGAUCCCUUAUCUGCAUCCAAAACAAAGCUGCUCGCCUUUGCAAAACGGUCAAGCGAUUCUAUCAUUCAGUGAUGGCUUUCCAGUCAAAGUUGAAAGCUGGUUCACCUGUUCUGUUUUUCUAGGAGGUGCCAUUGGUGGCUUGCUUGGGGCCUGGAUGACCUCCGGACAGUUCAAGCCCAUUCCUCAGAUUAUCCUGGAACUGCCACCUGUGGAGCAGCAGCGGCUUUACAAAAAUGUCUGCGCCAUUAUUCAGAAUCUGGACUGGACAGAUGUAGCCCAGCUCACAUCCUUGGUCAUGUCCAACGGUGCCCUUCAGGAAAAAUUGCUUGGAGUCCUGACAAACUAUAUCACUACUGAACUCAGAGGGGAGAUCCAGUAUGGAAACUAGACUUGGAUGUGUGUUUCACGGGUUUGUGAGUGCCCUUAACUCCCUUCUGACCCUUUUCUCUGGCGUUUUAGAUUUUUAAGAUCACGGUUUUUAUAGGAAUAACAAGGUGUCAACCAUGCAUUUUUUUUCUUUUACCCCAAAUAAUCAUUUGGGGAAACAAACAUGGCAAGCUUUGGUUUGCUCAUUCUGGUUCUUUUUUUCUUUUUCAUAAUUAGUCCCUAUUUCAGUACCCAAGGGUGGAUCGAUUUGAGCCUUGAUGUUUAUUGUAUUUAUUUGAAAAUCUAUUUAUGCCACCCCAAAAAUUCAUUGUGGUAUUUGGAGUGCCUUGCUGAGUAGGUACCUCUGAUUCAUCAGACCUUCUAAGCAGCCGCCUCUGUGAGUGAUGCCAUCAAAGAACGUGCCACCAUUGCAUCCUUGCAUUGUGGUCAAGGAUGUAAUGGCAUUUGCACUAUGAUGAUGUCACCAUUUGCUGCUCUUUGAUGUGCAUCAUUCUAGAUGAAUAAUGAUGAUACAAUGCACAGGAAUCAGCCUUUCCUGCUCAGUUACAAGGGUUGGAUCUAUGACCAAUUAUCCUACCCAAAUAUAUUCUUUGGCUGGAGAGAGACAGGCUGAUGGUUAACAUAUCUUUAGGAUGCCAAGUUGGAGAAACCUCAUGUAGAUAUGGCACUGUGGUUGAACUAUGUGGUGUCCUCUUGGCCACAUUAGAAUGAUCAACAUCAAAUUACUUGAAAUUGAGGGUUCACUUUUCCACGGGACAUGUUUCUUCUCUUCCUGCCUUAAUUUUGAGAUGGUGAAGGAGUGAACAGUUGAAAUAGUCCGGAGCCAAAAAUGUAGCAGAUGAUUCAUCUUAGGUAUUUCUCCUGAAGAUAAAAUGCAAAUAAAGCUGAAUUUUUAAUGUGUGAACAUGCCAAGGUUGUGUGGUCAUUAUUCCCCUUCCUUCAGAGAUGCUAAAGUGGGUUUCCUGAACUCAAAUUGUCUUUAGUGGAGAACGUUCAACAGGAGGAGACAAAGGAAGAAAGAUCUGGGAGCAACAAAGAAUAUUAAAAGUCCAACAUUCAGGUUUUACAGUUUGGGGUUUUUUUUAAACAAAUGAAAUUACAGGUAGUCCUUGAUUUACAGCAAUUCAUUUAGUGACCAUUCAAAGGUUACAAAGGCACUGAAAAAAGUGACUUAAAGACAAUUUUUCACAUUUAUGACAAUGGCAGCGUCCAUAGUCAUAUGAUCAAAACUCAAAUGGGCCUUGGUGGUGCAGGCUGUUAAUAGCCUUAGUUCCAGCUGCCUGUAAUUAUAAGGCGCUGAAUCCCACCAGGCUCAAG
ensembl:lncRNA